GGGGAUUUAGCUCAGUGGCAUAAGCACCUGCCUUGCAAGCAGGUGGUCGUGAGUUCGAUCCCUGGAAGUCCCCA
rnacentral:tRNA from 1 species